CGGGAUUCCCUGAGUAAGGGCGACUGAAACGGGACCUAGCCCAGCGCAUAACCUCGCGGUUCGGACAGAGCCGACGAGGGGUGUUGCGUAUCGGUGGAUCCGUCCCGCUCGUGCUCUACCGCCUAAGUCCAAGUAAGAGGCCCGUGUGGCGGCGCCCGCAAGGGCUACUAGAGCGCGGGCGGAGGGAUCGCUUCACCGGAGAGUCGGGUUGCUUAAUACUGCAGCCCUAAGAGAGGUGGUAAACUCCAUCUAAGGCUAAAUACAACCACGAGUCCGAUAGGCGACAAGUACCGUGAGGGAAAGUUGAAAAGGACUUUGAAGAGAGAGUUCAAAAGUACGUGAAGCCGUUAGAAGCUUAAACGGGUGGAACCGCGAAGGUCGAACGAGGGCACUCACCUCGUCGGGCGGGCGGGACCCGGGGUGCUCCGAACAGGCCAGCGCCGAUGUCCAAAGUGUGAGCGCAGGAGUGCCCUGUCUGUCGCGUCCCGUUCCGGCGGGCGUAUUUGUCCCUCUAGUAGGAAACGCCGCGAGCCGUGGCGGGGACCAGAAGGCCCACAUAGCCCGGAUUGGUACCCUCGGUCCGGAGGGGAAACCGCGGCUGGGAGUUUCUUGGUGGUCCUGCCACGGCUUGGCCCAGGGCAGCCCUCCGGGGCUGUCUCGCGGCGUAGAACGAAGUCGGUGAUCCACCUGACCCGUCUUGAAACACGGACCAAGGAGUCUAACAAGUGUGCGAGUCUAAGGGUCCUUUGAGACCCGGAGGCGCAAUGAAAGUGAGUGAGAAAUGCAGGCCGAUCCCCCGCUGAGAGGCGUUGGGGCGCAGGCCGGGGACUUGCCGCUCAGCGGCCGUCGACGGCCUCCCUCGUGGGGGCUCCGGCGGUCCGCUGGCAAGUACCUCCAGAGCACAUGCGUUGGGACCCGAAAGAUGGUGAACUAUGCCUGGCCAGGACGAAGCCAGAGGAAACUCUGGUGGAGGUCCGAACCAGUUCUGACGUGCAAAUCGAUUGUCAGAGCUGGGUAUAGGGGCGAAAGACUAAUCGAACCA
rnacentral:rRNA from 1 species